CUGUCGCCGUCAUAAUAGAGAGCUUUAGUAUAGAGUAAAAUGCUUGCGUUAGCGUUAGCAUGCGAAGCACGCUAAAGCUUUGCGGCACGCUAUUUGAUAGAGCUUUAUUACAGCGUAAAACAAAAAAAUUAUCCGCCUCAAAGCGCGAAACUUCACCGCGCCAUCUAGGUGCGAGUCAUGAAACCUCCAAAGCUGAUUGGCUCGCCAUCUAGUUCACAGUAGUCAAAGCAGCAAGCAGCGGUGCGACAGCAAAACUAGCCGUUUAAAUCCACGCCGAGCCCUGGGAAGAGCCUGCGUAACCAUAGAGAAAGGAAUAUAACAAGAGCGGACACUCGGCGAAAAUUGAAAACAGGAAACAUGUCACGCUAUAGUAUUAACGCCGACCAUUUGGGGCCGCGAGCAUCGAAAAAAAAAAGAAUCUGAAAUGAGAUUAACAGAAAUUGUUUAAUAUUUUUUAUUCUUUCCCGGCAAAAGUAAAAAUAUGUGCGUAUAAAUUAAAUUGAACUUUGCGGCUUACUUCCGUCGCCUAGCGACAGGCGAACCGGCGCAUGACGAGCCAGAUGCUUGCGUCAUUCGUCAGACACACCGCCGAAGCGAGAGAGACCGGCCGCGCAUCUGAGCGACGGACUAUUCGGGCACCCGUCUACCUGUUUUUCUAUUUUGGGAUUUAGCCUGGUUUGGUGGCCUCCCGGCGAAUUCUUGCGUUCCUUCGGAACUUCGACAUGGCGCCACUGCACUAUUGGACUACGGCAAGCUCACGUCGUCUGGUGGAGCUUCCUGCGGGAACUACUCCUGCUUACCUGGUGCCACAACGCUGGAUGAAUGCACAAAAAGCCCGCAACGAGCAUUUAUAAAGAAUAAAUUAAACAUUUCCUCAUUUCACAA